GACGAACGCUGGCGGCGUGCCUAAUACAUGCAAGUUGAGCGCUGAAGGUUGGUACUUGUACCAACUGGAUGAGCAGCGAACGGGUGAGUAACGCGUGGGGAAUCUGCCUUUGAGCGGGGGACAACAUUUGGAAACGAAUGCUAAUACCGCAUAAAAACUUUAAACACAAGUUUUAAGUUUGAAAGAUGCAAUUGCAUCACUCAAAGAUGAUCCCGCGUUGUAUUAGCUAGUUGGUGAGGUAAAGGCUCACCAAGGCGAUGAUACAUAGCCGACCUAAGAGGGUGAUCGGCCACAUUGGGACUGAGACACGGCCCAAACUCCUACGGGAGGCAGCAGUAGGGAAUCUUCGGCAAUGGACGAAAGUCUGACCGAGCAACGCCGCGUGAGUGAAGAAGGUUUUCGGAUCGUAAAACUCUGUUGGUAGAGAAGAACGUUGGUGAGAGUGGAAAGCUCAUCAAGUGACGGUAACUACCCAGAAAGGGACGGCUAACUACG
rnacentral:rRNA from 1 species